rnacentral:misc_RNA from 1 species
CGAGACUAACUUAUAAUUUACUAUUUUACAUUUUUGCCGCCAGUACUUUAACAGCAGAAGACACUUUUUGAGAAAAUAAUUGCAUCCCGAAACAGUACAUUUCACCAGUAAUCACCACAAGAACACAAACCGUUCAUAAAAUGGUGGAAUCGGUUCCGAUCUCUCAUUAAAAUCUUACGGCCGGUGAUCUUAGAGAUUAAUUUUGUCACUGCAUGGCAAUCUGCACACACCCGCAGGUUCUUUACUAUCUUUAUAGUAGCUCCUUGUUUUGUACUGAUAAGACCAAAAGCAAUAGCAAGCUUCUCGCUGUGAACUUUAAGGGACUGCUCCUUUUCUACGUCACUUAGAUCAUGUAAAACAAUCUCUGUUUGUGGGGUAUAACCAUGAGCCUUGAGCCAACCUUCCAUCUCCUCCAACAUCAUAUAUAUCUCUUUGGUCUUUGGAUGUCUCAAAUCUCCAGCAAAAAACUCAUGUACCUUGUUACUCACUUCAAUUGAGCUACAACCAGGUUCUUUUUCUAUCCCACUGUCUUUUAGCAAGGUCCUCAUUCUUGCCACACCUUCCCAAUUGCCACCUGCUGCAUAUAUGUUAGAAAGGAGAAUGUAAGUCCCUGAAUUUGCAAGAUUCUGGUUUAUAAGAAACUCUGCAAUUUCCUCUCCUAGAGCUAGGUUACCAUGGAGCCUACAAGCCCCAAGCAAAGUUCCCCAUAAGACAGGAUCUGGGUUGAUCUCCAUGUUCUUAACAAGCUCAUAUGCUUCUUUUAAAUGUCCAGCACGGCCAAAAAGAUUAACCAUACACCCGUAAUGCUCAAUCUUUGGUUCAAUCCCAUAUUCAUCUUUCAUCAAGUGGAAAAACUGCCAUCCUUCGCUAACCAAACCAGCAUGACCACAAGCACUCAAAAUUCCAAUGAACGUUAUAUCUGUAGGUCGGUAUCCUAUCCUACACAUCUCAUUGAAUAAAUGCAUAGCAUCUUUACUGAAUCCAUGUGUGGCAUACCCAACAAUCAUUGAAUUCCAAACAACAACAUCCUUGUUUCUGAUCCUUUCAAAAACCAACCGCGCAUCCUUCAAACUCCCACAUUUGCUAUACAUAUCAACUAAAGCAGUACCCACAUGAGCAUUGGUCUCAAUCCCAUUAUUCUGAAUAUACGAAUGAACCCACCUCCCUGACUCUAAAGCACCAAUAUGCCCGCAAGCAGAGAUAAUGGCCACAACCGUCACUUCAUUAGGACUCACUCCCGUCUUCAACAUUCGUCUGAAGAGCAUUAAACCCUCAUUUGGCAGUCCAUGCUGCACGUAACCAUCAAUCAUCACAUUCCAGCAAACUAAAUCCCUUUCCUGUAAUCCAUCAAACAGUUCUCUCGCCUCUUUAACCAUCCCAUAGUUCGCAUAGCAAGUAAUCAUCGCAGUCAAUGAAACUAAACUCUUCUCAGGCAUAGCAUCAAAUAACUUACGUGCGGAUACAACAUCACUUCCUCUUGCGUAAACAUCAAUAAGACAAGUCCUCACAUACAAAUCUGAAUCCAACCCAAAUUUUAUCGCUUGAGCAUGUAUCAUUUUCGCAGGUUCUAGCGGGCAAGACUUUAAAAUCGACGAGAAGGUAAAUGCAUUCGGGGCAACAUCUUGAGUUAACAUUUGUGCAUAAAAGAAAAAGGCUUGGU